GCGCGCUGCACAUCGAGCAAGAGACGGUGUGGACAUUCAUCCAGUGCGCUUAGGCUCAUCUGAGCGCGCGCGCACAACACACGGACGCCGCGCCUCCGGGAACACGGGGCGAGUCAAACAGCACCGUUCGCCGUGCGUCACUAUAAUAAAUCCGCCAAACUCUCGCCCGUCAGCUAUUUAUUGCUGACGGCACGUGGCCGUUUUUUUGUGGACUAACGCAAGCAAAGCCGUAUGCACGCGCACUGUAUGCGUUAUAUUUUAAUUGCCAUGCGCCGUGCGUCGUGCGGACGUCGCGUGCGUUAGAGGCAGCGGCACGGAGAUCAUCAUCAUCAUCAUCAUCGCGGGUGCUACGCGGUCGCUGGGUGGAAAUAAAUGUCUGCGAUUUCACCAAUUAUGCCCGUGCCCGCUGCGCUACACGUGCCUUUCGAAUGAGAGGUAAAUGAUAAGUCAAGAAUCGCCAGACGAGAAAAUCAAGAUCAGGCUAAGGUGUGUUGCGUGUGCGGUUUUUUUGUUGUUGUUGUCUCUUAUUUUAAGAUAGGAAGGAAAUGUCUCGCUGAGUUGAGAGGCGCAAUUUAACAGAGCAAUCGACCCGAGCGAUGGUCAUGACGUUAGUGAUGAUGAUGAUGAUAAUUGUAACGCGAACCGUGCGCUCCAUCCAACACGGAGAGACAAUCUCAUGAAUGUCAAGGAUAGCGAUUAAAAACACUCACACGCGCCGACGAAAAGAGAGGAAAACCCCAUCAGCGAAGCGGGAGCGAACGCCCCCAUUCUCCCCAUCGUCUGCAACAAGAAGAUGUUAGACACAUCCAUGUCUGGAGGCGCAUUAUGCGGUAUCCAUUGGGACAUCUUGCAGAGCCGUACGACCGUUGCCGCUCGAGAACGGCCCCACUGAAAUUGAUAUCAUAGAGCUGCCUCUGAGAUCUCUUCAAGUGACCUCUGAUCCAAAAUGGAGGGUGGAAGCACUUUCCCACCCACCCAGAACCGUGUUCAUCAUUUGACAUUCAAAUGAGUAUUUUUUAGUGUGGAAUUUAGCUCAAUUGGACGAUGGUUUGGUGUGUGUAGUGAUUGGUGAUGUAGCGGAGACCAUCAACUUGCUAUGCUUGAGAACAAAGGUGGAUGCCUACAUUCGAACCCAUGAGCUCAGCAGUGCCAGAUCAGUGCUCUGGCAUUUGAACCACCUGGACCACCUGAAUUUUCCAGUAUUAACGAUUUUAUAUCACAACACAUCAAACUAAUAAUAUGAAUGUAUACAUGUGUGUGUGUGUGUGGAUUGAUUGAGGAAUGGUGGUGCAGCGGUUAGCAUGCUGUACAUACUGUACCAUGAUCCGGCGAAUGAUCCGGCGAAUCUGGGAGGUUUUCCUUGGCCGUGCAAAAAUACCAAAAAAAUGUAAUCUCAUCAUAGGCUGGGGAAUUCCCUACAUCAGUUCAAUCCACAAUGGCUACUUUCGUAGAGUGUGUGAACAUCAGCGCUGUGGAGACAAAGGUGGAUAGGCGUGUAAUGUUGGCCUCACCAACUCUCCCGCUUGGUGUUGUCGAUCUUAAUAGGUGCUGACAAGCGGCAUUUGCUCUCACUGCUCGCAGCACAAUGGGCAUUUGUACAUGUGCUAAUUGACACAACAAAACUAAAUACGAUUUCUGGGGGAUUGUUUUUUGUUUGCGGAAAAUGUAUGGCUGUGCUUAUGCAUGUUUUGCCAUGACUGCAGCUCCUUUCUUAAGAAUAUGGCGUAUCAGCUAACUCGGGGUUCCAGGGAAAUAGCUGGCAGCAUGAUUGCAAUGAUGGUUGCCUGCUCUUGCUCAUUAUUGCCCCAUUUGAUGGCAACUCUGGGUUUUUCUGCCUGCACUGCCAAUUUGCGCUUCAAGUACGGGGAAUCAUUAUUUUAUGACUACACGAUCGUAUGCUUUACCGUGUCUAAAUGGUGUUUGUUUCCAAGUAAAAAUUUUAUGGUUGACGAAGAUAUAAUUAAUACAUGCAGGUGUAUGUUGUUAGUUGCUCGCAAGUUUUUUUGCUUUAGAUAUUAAAGCUUGAAGUGGUACACAUCCCAUUGCUCGGGGUCUGAUUCAUGUCGCAAUUUCGGCCAUAAUUCCGCCACAUUCCUGUGUUUAUUCGUUUAAACAUUUUCUUUUAAUUCAAGUGCAGCCACUUCCGCGUAAAAUAUACAACCGUUCAGCCGCAACCUAUACCACAUCUUGCGGGAAUGACAAAACGCUGGUCGGGUUAGAACGGACGCACACGCACGCGCGUUGGUGUGCCCACGUGCGGAAGCAGCCAGAAGCCUGGGGAAUGGUUGGCUCAGGACAUUGGCAGGACCAGCCCGCGCAUGUCGGCAAGUGCGGCUCCGAAUCUUGGCAGCGCUCGCGCGUCGCAUCGGACCUAAUGAAUUAAGCGAGAUUUGCUUGUACAUAAACGUGUGAAAACAAACUCUACGUGAAUCGAGCCCUGCGUGUGUGGUCAACGGUGGCAUUUGCGCCACAUUUGUCAGUGGCUCUGCUGAUUGGAGAUCUGACGAGCAGUGUACCUUUUGAUUUAAAGCUUUCGUGACUGCGGGGAUUCAUAUUCUUGGUUCUUUCGGUAAAGUCACCACGUAGAGGGGAAACAAUAAAAUAAUAAAACCAUAAAACAAUAAAAUUCUCACGACGUUUCGACUGCAACACACGCAAUCAUCAUUAUUGUUCCCUUCUACGUGACUUUACCGAAAGAACCAAGAAUAAGCUGUAUACCGUUAUUUAAUGUAACCCAUGCUAUUUUUCCACCCGUGAAAUUGCAUUCCAUUUGUGAAACAACUUACAGCUGUGGUUGUGUACGAAGUCUUUUUUUUGCUGCCUUCUAACCAACAUUUUAAAAUGGUCACGUGAUAACGCCUCUGGGCUAUAGGUCAGUUUAAGAUGUGCCAAAUUCUUUGUUGAGAAGCAUCACCGUACCGUUCGAUGAUCAAAUAUUUUGUGUGUCAGUUUUCGGUGACCUUUGAGAAUGUUGCUUGUUAAAUGUUUGUUGUAAUAGGCAUUGUUUUACAAGUGUUUCCCGGAAACUUAGAAUGAUGCAGUUUUGUGUUUAGUAUUGAUUUUCAAAGUGCAAACACUAAAAUCCUGCACUUAUGUGUCAAUUACAGCGUUAAAAGUAAAGAAACUUAACCCAAAAUAAUAUAUAAACAGUGGUAAAGCAACAUGAGGACAUUUUGUUAACUAAUUCAUCAACAAGUGUAUGUGUUAAAGAUGAAAUGUGGAAACGUUUCAUUUAAUAAUAAUAAAAAUAAUGUAUGAUUAAAAAUGCAACCAUAAUUAUUUUUUAGCAGAUAUACUGUACUCAGUUACAACUACUGCAUAUUGUGCAAUUAAAGGAGAGGUUAUUCGGAAUAGGUUUUUAAUUUGCAAUGUAUGACAUUGAUAGGGUUUCUAACACGUGUAAUGUGCUGUUUGAACCUAAGUCACAAUGCAUAGCGGGUUGUAAUGCAAUGAACGUGCAGCGCUGAAUUGAAAGUGAUGUGAAUGUGUACAGGCAGGCGUACUCCUUUAAGAGUAGAUGAUGCCACAUUUGAGAACCACGAGUGUAACUAAAACACAUGUAUACUUAAUCUAUUGCCCGAGGCAUGUCUUUUUGUAAAAUGCAAAUUUUUCGAGGGAUGCUUAUUCGCUGGCCUAAAUUCAAGAAACCCAGGUGUGAGGGCUGUAACUUUUGAUUGAGCGAUUAGGUUUUGUUAUUUCGAAUAGGGCCCUGCAGCUGAAGGAAAGUCACUCGAGGCAACUGUCUGCUAGAGGCCAGCAUUGUAAUUUACCUGUGCUUAAUUCAUGCGUCGGGGGAAGGCAGGGGUGGGGGGGGGUGUCUGCUAUAAUAAUCCUGUGUGCAAUGUACACUUUUUGGGCCCAUACAAUCACAACAAGGGCACUAAUAUUGCUUGUCUCCUGCGACCGCGGUGCAAAUCCUUGAAGGUGAAGGAGUGGACCGCUUCAGCGACCGCUCCCCCGGCACCGUUUCCAGUUGUGCUCACCACAGGGAAUUUUGGCACGCCGCGAAUUAGAAAUGGACGAGACAAAAGUAAUCAAAAUAUUAAGUUUGCUUGCAUUACAAAUUAUGUGCAUUAUCCGAGGCCAUAGGGCUCGGCACCCAAGUAGAAUAUUCGCACUUCAUAAUCACCAAUUUAAACUGCGGUUCCAUCCCUUGUGUUACGUCGUUAACUGACUUUCUCAAAGGAACCACUGUCGGUCAGAAUGGAUGUUAACGAUGGACUCUCAUUUGUGGGGGGUAUUAAGUAUUACUCUUUGGUUCUAUUCGGUAAAGUCACGUAGGUAAAAAAAUAAAACAACAAAAAAUCACGACGUU